GACGAACGCUGGCGGCGUGCCUAAUACAUGCAAGUCGAACGCAGUGGGGACGGGUGAGUAACACGUGGGUGACCUCCCAUCAGAGGGGAUAACACUUGGAAACAGGUGCUCAACCGAUACUGCUGGAUGGCCCCGCGGUGCAUUAGCUAGUUGGGGAGGUAACGGCUCACCAAGGCCACGAUGCAUACCCGGCCGGAUAGGGUGAUCGGACACACUGGGACUGAGACACGGUCCAGACUCCUACGGGAGGAAGCAGUAGGGAAUCUUCGUCAAUGGACGAAAGUCUGACCGAGAAACGCCGCGUGAGUGAAGAAGGUUUUCGGAGCGUAAAACUCGUUUGUUAGAGAAGCGUUAUCUAACCAGAAAGCCACGGCUAACUACGUGCCAGCAGCCGCGGUAAUAC
rnacentral:rRNA from 1 species